UACGAAGGGGGCUAGCGUUGCUCGGAAUCACUGGGCGUAAAGCGUGCGCAGGCGGUUAUUUAAGUCAGGUGUGAAAGCCCUGGGCUUAACCUAGGAAUGGCGCUUGAGACUGGAUAGCUUGGAGUGUGGCAGAGGGAGGUGGAAUUCCACGUGUAGCAGUGAAAUGCGUAGAGAUGUGGAGGAACACCGAUGGCGAAGGCAGCCUCCUGGGCCAGCACUGACGCUCAUGCACGAAAGCGUGGGGAGCGAUCCGG
rnacentral:rRNA from 1 species